GGAGUCGGCUAGGCAAUCGCGGCUCGAUCAUUUCGGUGGUCGGGUGGAGGAAAGUCCGGGCUCCAUAGGGCAGAGUGCCAGGUAACGCCUGGGCGGUGAGAACCGACGGCCAGUGCAACAGAAAGAUACCGCCUGCUUUAGGGCACCUCUAUUGAUUCUGGGCCUGGCGAUAUUGAGAUUCAGGGUUUUCAAGAGCAAGGCGCAGAGUGAUUGUAAUAGUGAUGCUAUUACGAUUACUGAGCAACGCAGCUAUUGGAAACCCUGGGUUCAAUUCGCUGAUCCAGGAAUUAAUAGAGGUGUCCUUUAGUCGGUAAGGGUGAAAUGGUGCGGUAAGAGCGCACCGCGUGGCUGGUAACAGGCAUGGCAUGGUAAACCCCACUCGGAGCAAGACCAAAUAGGGGAACAUAUGGCGCGGCCCGCGUUGUUCCCGGGUAGGUUGCAUGAGGUGUGUGGCGACGCACAUCCCAGAUGAAUGAUUGUCCUCGACAGAACCCGGCUUAUCGGCCGGCUCCCACC
rnacentral:RNase_P_RNA from 2 species